rnacentral:snRNA from 1 species
UAAGGAGGAGGUAUAACCUCAUA